rnacentral:tRNA from 1 species
GGGAGCGUGGCCAAGUGGCUAAGGCGUCCGCCUGCAGAGCGGAUAUUCGGGGGUUCAAAUCCCUCCGCUCCCU